UCCUGCAACAGUUUCAGCAGGGUGACCCAGACAACGCUGAGUGAUAAAGAGCCCUGCCUGGGUCACCAUGCUGCAACUGUUGCUGGUC
rnacentral:pre_miRNA from 13 species